rnacentral:rRNA from 1 species
GGGCAGAUCUGAUCGAGAGGGGUCAAAAUCCCUAGGGUGGCCUUCGAUCCCCUUCGGGCCUGGCAUCUCCAUCUCUCUCCCUCACCCCUCCUCCACCUCCGGCCUCCGCCACGGCCAGGCCGGCGUGGUGGUGCGCCUCCCCACCCAUCCAUAUAUCCAUCACCAGCGCCGCUCACCACCAGCGCCCAUCUCGCCUGCCAUACCCGCGCGCCUCCACCUGCUGCUGAUUCUCCUUGCCGCUCCCUUCGCCUACCUCGCUGUUGUUCUUCUUCCCGACGUCCUCCAUGCUGCCCUUCUGCUUCUCCUCUGCUUCCCCUCUCCUAGCGCCUCAACUAGCUGCUUCUUCUUCCCCAAACUUUGCUGCUGCUUCUUCCCUCUCCUCACGUCCCUGCUGCUGCACUUCUCCUCCUAACCUUGCUGCUGUUCAUCUCUGAACCCCCAACAUGCUGCUGCUCCUCUCCAACAACGACGCCGAUCUGCAGCACUCCCUCGUCACCAGCCUCAAGAAACGGAGCUGCUGAUCCUCUCCAACGACCCCUUGUUGAUCCUCUCCCACUUGGCUUCGCUGAUCAUCUUCGUCCCUGCUGCUCUCCUUCGCCCGCAACAUCUACAGCCCAGGAGACAACUCUGAAUCUCUCUUCUCUUACUGUAGUUUUCUGAAUUUUUGCUCUGGUUAUUCUGCAGCUUGUAGUCUGAAUCUCAGUUAACUGUUGAUGUGCCCGUGAGAAAACUAGGUGGUUCAACUUGUAAUAUUGUUCUGCUGCCUGUGAUGUUUGAGAUAGUUACAUCAUCUACUCUAUGCUACUGAUAAUAUGCUACUGAUAAUAUGUUCAGUUCGUACUUGUCAUGUGUUAAUUAGUAUUCUGCUACUGUAUGUGUGAGAUCCCUUAUGUGUUUGUUCCUUACUGCAGAAAUUUAUUCAGUUGUCCAUGUGUUAGCUCCAGUACAUGUGCUAUAUAAAUACAUGUGUGUUUUGUGAUGUAAACCAUGUCAGCUAGCUCACUGUGACAAAUUCAUGUUACUAUUUGUGAUUUUAUUUUGUAUUGAAAUUACUCUCUG